rnacentral:rRNA from 1 species
UGCCCAGACUCCUACGGGAGGCAGCAGUGGGGAAUAUUGCACAAUGGGGGAAACCCUGAUGCAGCGACGCCGCGUGAGUGAAGAAGUAUUUCGGUAUGUAAAGCUCUAUCAGCAGGGAAGAAAUAGCGACCUUUGGGUCGCCAGACGGUACCUGAUUAAGAAGCCCCGGCUAACUACGUGCCAGCAGCCGCGGUAAUACGUAGGGGGCAAGCGUUAUCCGGAUUUACUGGGUGUAAAGGGAGCGUAGACGGCAGCGCAAGUCUGAAGUGAAAUGCCGGGGCUUAACCCCGGAACUGCUUUGGAAACUGUUAAGCUGGAGUGCAGGAGAGGUAAGUGGAAUUCCUAGUGUAGCGGUGAAAUGCGUAGAUAUUAGGAGGAACACCAGUGGCGAAGGCGGCUUACUGGACUGUAACUGACGUUGAGGCUCGAAAGCGUGGGGAGCAAACAGGAUUAGAUACCCUGGUA